rnacentral:rRNA from 1 species
UACAGGGGGGGCAAGCGUUGUUCGGAAUUACUGGGCGUAAAGGGCUUGUAGGUGGCCAACUAAGUCACACGUGAAAUCCCCGGGCUCAACCCGGGAACUGCCCUCCAAACUGCUUGGCUUGAGUCCGGGAGAGGUGAGUGGAAUUCCCAGUGUAGCGGUGAAAUGCGUAGAUAUUGGGAGGAACACCAGUGGCGAAGGCGGCUCACUGGACCGGAACUGACGCUGAGGCGCGAAAGCGUGGGGAGCAAACGGG